rnacentral:tRNA from 1 species
GGCUAUAUAGCUUAAUUAGAGCAGUGGUUUUGUAAUCCUCAGGUACGUAGAAAUGUUAUAGCCU